rnacentral:rRNA from 1 species
ACGGAAGGCAGCAGUGGGGAAUAUUGGGCAAUGGGGGAAACCCUGACCCAGCAACGCCGCGUGGAGGAAGAAGGUCUUCGGAUCGUAAACUCCUGUCCUAAGGGAAGAGGAGAAGACGGUGUUUUAGGAGGAAGCCCCGGCUAACUACGUGCCAGCAGCCGCGGUAAUACGUAGGGGGCAAGCGUUGUCCGGAAUGAUUGGGCGUAAAGGGCGCGUAGGCGGCCCGGUAAGUCUGGAGUGAAAGUCCUGCCUUCAAGGUGGGAAUUGCUUUGGAUACUGUCGGGCUUGAGUGCAGGAGAGGUAAGUGGAAUUCCCAGUGUAGCGGUGAAAUGCGUAGAGAUUGGGAGGAACACCAGUGGCGAAGGCGACUUACUGGACUGUAACUGACGCUGAGGCGCGAAAGUGCGGGUAUCAAACAGGAUUAGAUACCCUGGUA